GGGGAAGUCUUAAUUUAAUAUUAAAUGAACGAAAAGCGGAAGAAAAUUAACAUCAUCCUCUACCCAAGAUUUAGUGCUACAGUACUCACAGACUAAUAUAAAAUUCUACAAAUAAGAGUUUGAAAGAAAAUACAUAAGGAGUCUGUUUCGAUACAAUGAAAACAAACAGGAAUGAUAUAGAAGAGACUCGGGGACCGCGAAUGCCAGCGAACUACCUGGAGUCUCUAGACUGAAGGCACGCUCCCAAGCUACUGCUGCGAUCCGUAAGCUGUCUCCUGACCUGUGCACAAAAGGCACAGAAGUGUAGCAUCAGCACAACCGAUCCCAUGUGUUGGUAAGUGUCUGGCCUAACCCCGGCGAGGUAGUGACGAGGCUAGACUGGACCUACCACAAUUAACAUGUACAGAUAUAUGUGCAACAACAGAAAUAUAUACAAAAAUUUAAACAGAUAAUGGGGAGGGGACAUGCUGUGGGGGUGUAACAAUUUAGAUAUAUGACCAACGAACAAAGAAAUGGAAACUGAAUAAUUUACAUCAAUAAAAGAGAGCCAGUAACUCAACAACUGCACGUCACCAACCUUCGAGCUUUUACUCUCAAUUCUCACCGAAACUGUCAAAUAUAGUGCACGGCAUCACCCUUCAUGAUUUUACUCUCCAUUCUCAUCGAUUUGUCAAAUAUAGUGUACGGCAUCACCUUUCGUGUUUUUCCUCACAUAACUCUCAUAUCGAGGCAUGAAACGACCCUUCGUGCUCAAAUAAUAAAAAAACAUGGCACGGAAAGACCCUUCGAGCAUAAUUAUCAAAACAUGGCACAGAAAGACCCUUCGUGCAUAAUUAUCAAAACAUGGCACGGAAAGAUCCUUCGUGCAUAAUCUCUCUUCAUCACCCAAUUAACGGUCAUAACCAAUCGGGGAAAGGAAUAUACAACAAAAUUAAAUAUCCCGACAAGGGAGAACAAUUUAACAAUAAGUCCCAGUAAGGGAAAAGCGAAUCAACAACAAGUCCCGGCAAGGGAAAGAAUUCACACUUUCCUUUUUAACUCAUUUACUCCUCAACUAUCACUUCGUAAUUGAUUUAGCAAGUAAUUAACUUAAUUGUUUCACAUCUUUCAAAUUUAAAAGCAACUACAACUCACGGUCAUGUUAGACUCGGGCGUAUAGGUAACCGUAACCAUACCUAUGCACUGACUGCACAUAGCACUUAGCAAAUAUUGUCCUAAUCAUAUUCCCUUAAGCCAAAGUUAGAACAAACACAUACCCCGGUCCGAAAAUAGCAAAUCAAGCCUCUAACACCGCUUUUCCUCUAGAAUCCAACUCUGAAACAACGAUAUCUAGGCAUAAUUAGGUUUAAUAUUAUCAAUAAUAGCUCGAGGACACAAUUCCAUAGCUUAGAAACGAAUUUCCUAACAUUCUUCCAAAAUUACCAAAAUCUUACCCCGGGCCCACAUGGUCCAAACUCGAGGCUCGGACCAAAACCCAAUCACCCAUAACCCCACGAUUGUCUAUCUUCAAGAAUGUUAGCAUUAAUCAAAUUCAGAAUCUGAUAUAGCAGGUGUAAUCAAGAAAACUAAGAAAAAUUGGUUUUAUAUUCACAUGUAAUACUUCACAAGAAAGGAUCCAAAUUAUAUGCUUGGUAAAAGAAUGACCUUCAGGCAGCAACUGCCUUUGCUAGUAACUGGACAAGCCAAAAUUGACCCUGACAUGGCACGCUUACAAGAGAAGAAUGACUAAGUGGAAACAGGAAGGAAAUGGUCGAGUCCUUUGGGUUAAUAUUCAAGCUUGGUCUAUUGCUCUCUAAUUUUAUUGCCUAUCUUGUUACAUUUUAUUGAAAAUAGACAGAUUCCAAGCAAUACCACAAACCUCGAACGAACAAUGACGACCUUGACGGCUCGAUGACCUGAAAACUCACGCACACUGUCACUGUUUCUCACUGAAUUUCCGGCCAGUUGUGUGUGUUUUAAGAGAG
rnacentral:lncRNA from 1 species